CUGCUCACUUCAGCAGCACAUAUACUAAAUUGAAAUGAUACCGAGAGAUUAGCAUGACCCUUUGCAAGGCUGACAUGCAAAUUUGUGAAGUGUUCUAUAUUUUU
rnacentral:snRNA from 1 species